GCUACGGUGGUCUAGCGGUUAGAACGCUGGGCUUGUAAUCCUGGGGUCUCGGGUUCGAUUCCUGGUGGUGCCC
rfam:Zootermopsis nevadensis contig16199, whole genome shotgun sequence.